AAGCAGUUGUACGACUGGCGGAAAAGCAGGGUUACCUGUGGGGAGUACAACGUUAUCCUGAUGCCGACCGCCUGGGCGACCGCU
rnacentral:ncRNA from 12 species